GAUGAAGAACGUAGUGAAAUGCGAUACGUAGUGUGAAUUGCAGAAUUCAGUGAAUCAUCGAAUCUUUGAACGCACAUUGCGCCCGCCAGUAUUCUGGCGGGCAUGCCUGUUCGAGCGUCAUUUCAACCCUCAGGCCCCCAGUGCCUGGUGUUGGGGAUCGGCCCAGCCUUCCUGUAAGGCCGCCGGCCCCGAAAUCUAGUGGCGGUCUCGCUGUAGUCCUCCUCUGCGUAGUAGCACAACCUCGCAGUUGGAACGCGGCGGUGGCCAUGCCGUUAAACACCCCACUUCUGAAAGUUGACCUCGGAUCAGGUAGGAAUACCCGCUGAACUUAAGCAUAUCAAUAAGCGGAGGA
rnacentral:misc_RNA from 1 species